rnacentral:rRNA from 1 species
AACGCGAAGAACCUUACCAAGGUUUGACAUGGGCCGAAAACUCGCAGAGAUGCGGGGUCCUUCGGGGCGGUUCACAGGUGGUGCAUGGCUGUCGUCAGCUCGUGUCGUGAGAUGUUGGGUUAAGUCCCGCAACGAGCGCAACCCUCGUCCAAUGUUGCCAGCGGGUAAUGCCGGGGACUCAUUGGAGACUGCCGGGGUCAACUCGGAGGAAGGUGGGGAUGACGUCAAGUCAUCAUGCCCCUUAUGUCUUGGGCUGCAAACAUGCUACAAUGGCCGGUACAAAGGGCUGCGAACCCGUGAGGGUAAGCGAAUCCCGGAAAGCCGGUCUCAGUUCGGAUCGGGGUCUGCAACUCGGCCCCGUGAAGCCGGAGUCGCUAGUAAUCGCGGAUCAGCAACGCCGCGGUGAAUACGUUCCCGGGCCUUGUA